UGUAGCUCACGAAAGCUUAUGCUCUAAUAAAUUUGUUAGUCUCUUAGGUGCCACAAGUACUCCUUUUCUUGUCAUGAAAAGGGCCUGGAGCUAACAAAAUUUUGUGUAAACAUGAUAUUGCAAGUGAAGAUAGGUCUAAAUGCAACAAUAAUAGGUUUUACUCAUUGGCUGCAGAACUCUGUGCACGAGGACAAUGGAACCUACUGAUUCGUGGAAGGAUUCGGGCACGAGGGCUGCAUGUAUUACCCACUCAUAUAUAUAUGGUGCAUAGGGUCCCCCUCUGACUAGCAGAGGGGCACCACGCUCGAGCGUACUAAACAGAAACUUUGCAAAGAUUGAUCAGUUGUGACUCGUUUAUGUGCCUCAGCCUAGACUCGAAUUGUGUGUGACCUAUUAGGUAUAAUUCGUAACAGUUUUUGUGCGUGACCUAUCAGGUAUAAUUCACAACAGUUUUGGCACCCCAGAUGGGACUCUAGGCUCGCCCUAAUAAGCGAAGCUGCACUCCUCCUCUCGGAUAGCUCCAGCCGGCACAAGAAAAUCAGAGAAAACUGAUGCCAGCUGAAAAGCAAUUCAACAUAUCAUGAAUUUACUGGCACAAUAGGAAUUAUGUUCUGUGUUCUAUCUUAUGUUUGUCUUGUGGCCAGAAUUGCUGGGUCUAAUUUUUCAUAGGACAAUUUAAUUUAAAACUAAAUAGAAGGGUUAAAUCAAAAUGCAGAUACUUGUUUUAUUCAACUUGGAAUACAAAGUGUUUGGAUAAUAUCAGGAAAAUGUGAUAUACUAAAGUUUAAUAUAUUUGCUUAAGUAAAAAAUAUAAAUUUCAUUGGCCAGGUCUUUUAAUUGAAAAAAAUUGUUGUUAAAAUUCACACACCAACAGUCUUUGGAAGCAAGGACAUGAAAGGUUAACCCACUCCCCAUAUUACACAUGGAAUCUUUCUGGCUACUUCAAAUUUCUAGCCAGAGGGCUGGGGAGGGAGGAAAGCUAUUGGAUACCAGAGAUUGUACCAAGUGGACUCCUCAAAAGUGGGUGUGCUUGUCCUGGCUUGUUGCUCCAAAGCUCCGUAAUAAAAUCAUUUUACUAGAAGGGUGUAUGUGGCAUACAUUAAAUAAUAAGACUAAAGUGCUGUAUAAUGGACAAUGUAUAUGUAUUCAUUUUUGAACAAAGGUGUGUGAGUGGAAAGUGAAUGUUUCCUUUACAGGUUAAUAGAAACCAAUAAGGGAAGAAGAAAAAGAAUGGAGGACGAAUUAAUUCAACGCUGUAGCUGGCAGGCUCGGUCCAAAGAUAAGACACUGGUCUGCCUAAGGACACUACUCACAGCUAGGAUGUGGCUGACAGCCAAGAAAGAGGGGGGCUUGAAUGCGUCCAAGUAGCUGUGAGAUCUGGAAAACACUGCCAGACAUUAAUGAAAUGUGUUAGGUCUCUGUAUUUACAGGUAAAAGAAGUCCUGCUCCAAGGAUCCUGAGCAAACCUGCCAUUUGUUAAAAACUGGGUCUACAUAAAGGUCCAUCAACGAAAGACUACUCUGGCCCCAUGCUGGAAAGGCCCUUAUUAAAUCCUACUAACUACCAACACUGCUGUGAAGUACCAAGGACUGACUGCCUGGACCCAUGCUUCUUACUGCAAAAAGACCCCUCCACCUCGAGAUGACUUCACUUCGACUACUGAUCAGCCUAUCCCUCCUUCUGGGUUUUUUCUUUCCUCCUUUUGGACAGCAGGGGAAAGGACAAGGUGAAGUGCUAGUAACCUCUCCCUUGUCCACUGACAGAGCUAACCUGCAUUCAGUAUUUGCUAAAGAAACCAAAGCACUACAGGGUGACGUGCUAGUAACCUCUCCCCUGUAUAAUGCAAAACCACGACUGUUCCAAAAGAAAAAAAGGAACACCUGCUCUGCUGAAACCACCAAGAUCCAAGGAUUCCUGACUACAAAAGCCAUUGAGAAUUGGUCUUGGUGGC